rnacentral:rRNA from 1 species
UACGUAGGGUGCAAGCGUUGUCCGGAAUUAUUGGGCGUAAAGAGCUCGUAGGCGGUUUGUCGCGUCUGCUGUGAAAACCCGAGGCUCAACCUCGGGCCUGCAGUGGGUACGGGCAGACUAGAGUGCGGUAGGGGUGACUGGAAUUCCUGGUGUAGCGGUGGAAUGCGCAGAUAUCAGGAGGAACACCGAUGGCGAAGGCAGGUCACUGGGCCGCAACUGACGCUGAGGAGCGGAAAGCAUGGGGGAGCGAACAGG